AACGAACGCUGGCGGCGUGCCUAACACAUGCAAGUCGCGCGCGAACGUCCUUCGGGAUGAGCAAAGUGGCGCACGGGUGAGUAACACGUAGGUGACCUGCCUUUUAGAGGGGAAUCACCAGAAGAAAUUUUGGCUAAUGCCGCAUACGAAGCACGGUUUUAAGACUGUGAUUGAAAGAAUGCCUCUGUAUAUGCAUUCACUAAAAGAUGGUCCUGAGGAACAUUAGCUAGUUGGUGGGGUAAAGGCCUACCAAGGCAACGAUGUUUAUCCGGUCUGAGAGGAUGAUCGGACACACUGGAACUGAGACACGGUCCAGACUCCUACGGGAGGCAGCAGUGGGGAAUAUUGCGCAAUGGGGGAAACCCUGACGCAGCAACGCCGCGUGAGUGAGGAAGGACUUCGGUCUGUAAAGCUCUGUUGAUGUGGAAAAAUGGUAGUUGGUCUAAUAGGCCGAUUAUUUGAUGGUACACAUAGAGGAAGCACCGGCUAACUUCGUGCCAGCAGCCGCCGUAA
rnacentral:rRNA from 1 species